AAUACCUGUAUUGAUCAACCAUUGUGAGAGUGAUCCGUCUAAAACCCAGAGCAGCCUAGAGCUCAGAGAUGGGAGGAGCGAACGAGAGAGGCUGCAGAGAGGAUGGAGAAAGAGAGAGAGUCUGCAGCCACAGUGAAAGGGAGAAGAGGUACAAGGGAAGAGAAGCGAAUCUGAGAGAGAAGCAGACGCAGAGCUGAAGGCAGGUGGGGAGGCAGGUUUCGGACAACGCUGCCAGGCCACUGGGACUGGGGAGAAACCUAUGGUAAUUGCUUUCUCAUUAAGAGAGGGAGGGUGAGGGCGACUAAUGACUACUGCUUUAAGUAUGCGGAGUAAAACUCUGCAGUUUACCUUGGCAACAACAUGGGAGCACAAGGCCCAGCACAUACCUGGAAAUUCCUGAGAAAAUCAAAGACCGGAUGAAAUAGCAUUGGAUGCAAAGAUCCAUGGAGGAAGUAACAGGAACAUUUCUGAUCAAGGCAAAGUUGGAUGUAUAAUCCAACACUGAUUUCAAGCUCAAAGAUGAAAAUGGCUGCAAGAUGGUAGUGUAAAUAACAGAUUGUUGCUGUUUUGAACUGGUAUGGAUAAAGCUAGCUUUGGGAUGUUUUUGGACAAUUCGUUGGAUUGGAUUUAAUUUUUAUUAUAUUUAGAAUUUUGUUGGAAUUUUACUGUACAGACGACCGACUGGACCGCUCAACAACAGCCAUGAAUGUUGGAUUCAAGGCCCCAAGCUGCGCUGCACUGGAGGUGGAGUCAAAAGCCUUCUGGGAUCGUCCCCCACAAUGCUAAAGGGAAAUCAAGUUUCCAUUGAUUGAUUUUAAAUGUGACUUCCUUGUGCAUAAUUGUGGAUUUGAGGGAAGAUAUAUUCCUCCAAACUGUGGGGGAGUACUUUGAUGCUCAUAAACUCACUUUACACUGGAGCUCUGGUGUGGGAACACUCGGAGAAAAAGGCCUACAGUCUACAGGUUCACUCCUCUGUGAACAUGAAUUAAAGGAAUGAACAUUCUGUACCAAGAAGCACCGCCACCUACAUACAGUUUUGUUAAAUAAACUGUAAAACAAAGAAACGUUUUCGUGUGGUACACAAGACAAAUGGCUCUAAGUAUGUGUGGCUGUACACAUCCUAAUAACAGUACACUGUUGUGACAGUUAGUAUACAAGAAAUUAAUGACAUGAAAUGAUCCAAUAUGGUUGCCAACAGGCUUCAAUUAAACUGUGAUUUUGGAA